GACAGAGGGUGCAAGCGUUGUUCGGAAUUACUGGGCGUAAAGGGCGCGUAGGCGGCCUCGCAAGUCCCGUGUGAAAUCCCUCGGCUCAACUGAGGAAUGGCACGGGAAACUGCGGGGCUUGAGUUCGGGAGAGGGAAGCGGAAUUCCGGGUGUAGCGGUGAAAUGCGUAGAUAUCCGGAGGAACACCGGUGGCGAAGGCGGCUUCCUGGACCGAUACUGACGCUGAGGCGCGAAAGCUAGGGGAGCAAACGGG
rnacentral:rRNA from 1 species